rnacentral:rRNA from 1 species
UGGGGAAUUUUGGACAAUGGGCGCAAGCCUGAUCCAGCAAUGCCGCGUGCAGGAUGAAGGCCUUCGGGUUGUAAACCGCUUUUGUCAGGGAAGAAACGAGUUUCUCUAAUACAGAGACUUAAUGACGGUACCUGAAGAAUAAGCACCGGCUAACUACGUGCCAGCAGCCGCGGUAAUACGUAGGGUGCGAGCGUUAAUCGGAAUUACUGGGCGUAAAGCGUGCGCAGGCGGUUAUAUAAGACAGAUGUGAAAUCCCCGGGCUCAACCUGGGACCUGCAUUUGUGACUGUAUAGCUAGAGUACGGUAGAGGGGGAUGGAAUUCCGCGUGUAGCAGUGAAAUGCGUAGAUAUGCGGGGGAACACCGAUGGCGAAGGCAAUCCCCUGGACCUGUACUGACGCUCAUGCACGAAAGCGUGGGGAGCAAACA